UACGUAGGGGGCAAGCGUUGUCCGGAAUCAUUGGGCGUAAAGAGCGCGUAGGCGGUCCGGUAAGUCGGUUGUGAAAACUGGGGGCUCAACCCUCAGAGGCCGACCGAUACUGUCGGGCUAGAGUCCGGAAGAGGCGAGUGGAAUUCCUGGUGUAGCGGUGAAAUGCGCAGAUAUCAGGAGGAACACCAAUGGCGAAGGCAGCUCGCUGGGACGGUACUGACGCUGAGGCGCGAAAGCGUGGGGAGCAGACAGG
rnacentral:rRNA from 1 species